rnacentral:rRNA from 1 species
GGGGUAAAAUUAAUAAAAUAAAAUUAAUAAAAGAAAUUUUAAAAUUAAAAAUAUUUAAUGGGGGUUAGAGUAUUUUUAAUAGAAAAAAUUUGAAAAUUUAUAGGGAAUUAGUAUUGUAAAAGAAAUUUGAAAUAAAUGAAAAAAAAAUUAAAGUAAAAGAAAAUUUAAUUUAUUGUAUCUUGUGUAUCAGAGUUUAUUAAAUAAAUUUUUUAGUUAAAAAAAUUUCGAAUUUAAAAGAGUUAAUUAAUUAUAAAAAUUAAUGUAGCAUAAUUAUUUUUAAUAAUUAAUUAGAAAUGAAAUGUUAAUCGUUUUUAAAGAUAUCUAGUUAUUUUAGAAAAAAAUUUAAUUUUAAAUUUAUAUAAUUUUUUAAUUUAUUAAGAAAAUUAUAAAAAUUUUAAAUUUAAUAUUUUAAGGGAUAAGCUUUAAAUUAAAAAUUUAUAAUAAAAUUAAAAUUAAAAUUAAAAUUUUUAAAAUUUAUAUUGUUUAAAAAUUAUAAUUUAUUAUAAAUAAUUUUAAUUAAAAUAAAAUUUAAUAAAAUAAAUUUAAAUUUUUAUAAAAUAAUAAUUUAUAAUAAAAUAAAAUUAAAAAUAAUGAUAAAAUUAGUAUAAAAAUAUUUAUAAAAAUUAAAUAAUUAAUUAAAAUUAAUUAAAAGGAAUUCGGCAAAUGUAUAUAUUCACUUGUUUAUCAAAAACAUGUCUUUUUGAAUAAUAAUUUAAAGUCUAAUCUGCCCACUGAUAAAUAUUAAAGGGCUGCAGUAUAUUGACUGUACAAAGGUAGCAUAAUCAUUAGUUUUUUAAUUGGAAACUUGUAUGAAAGAUUUGAUGAAAUAUAGACUGUCUCUUAAUUAUUAUUAAAACUUUAUUUUUUAGUUAAAAAGCUAAAAUAAAUUUAAAAGACGAGAAGACCCUAUAGAGUUUUAUAUUUUUUUUUAAUUUUAGAAAUUUAUAAAAUUAUUAUUUAAAAUUAAAAAAAAUAUUAUGUUGGGGUGACAGAAAAAUUAAAUGAACUUUUUUUAAUUCAUAAACAUAAAUAAAUGAGUAAAUGAUCCAUUGAUAAUGAUUAUAAGAAAAAAUUACCUUAGGGAUAACAGCGUAAUAUUUUUUUUUAGUUCAAAUAAAAAAAAAAGUUUGCGACCUCGAUGUUGGAUUAAGAUAAAAUUUAAAUGCAAAAGUUUAAAAUUUUGAUCUGUUCGAUCAUUAAAAUCUUACAUGAUCUGAGUUCAAACCGGUGUGAGCCAGGUGGGUUUCUAUCUUUAGAUUUAAUAAAAUAUUUUAGUACGAAAGGAUCAAAUAUUUAAAAUAAUUUUAAUAUUAUGAAUAUCAUUAAUUAUUUUAUAAAAUAUC